rnacentral:rRNA from 1 species
GUGGGGAAUAUUGGACAAUGGGCGCAAGCCUGAUCCAGCCAUGCCGCGUGUGUGAAGAAGGCCUUCGGGUUGUAAAGCACUUUUGUUGGGAAAGAAAUCCUGUCGGCUAAUACCCGGCGGGGAUGACGGUACCCAAAGAAUAAGCACCGGCUAACUUCGUGCCAGCAGCCGCGGUAAUACGAAGGGUGCAAGCGUUACUCGGAAUUACUGGGCGUAAAGCGUGCGUAGGUGGUUCGUUAAGUCAGAUGUGAAAGCCCCGGGCUCAACCUGGGAAUUGCAUUUGAUACUGGCGGACUAGAGUGCGGUAGAGGAGAGUGGAAUUCCCGGUGUAGCAGUGAAAUGCGUAGAGAUCGGGAGGAACAUCAGUUGCGAAGGCGGCUCUCUGGACCAGCACUGACACUGAGGCACGAAAGCGUGGGGAGCAAACAGGAUUAGAUACCCUGGUAGUCC